rnacentral:rRNA from 1 species
AUUGAACGCUGGCGGCAUGCUUUACACAUGCGAGUCGAACGGUAACAGGCCGCAAGGUGCUGACGAGUGGCGAACGGGUGAGUAAUGCAUCGGAACGUGCCCAGUCGUGGGGGAUAACGCAGCGAAAGCUGUGCUAAUACCGCAUACGAUCUAUGGAUGAAAGCGGGGGACCGUAAGGCCUCGCGCGAUUGGAGCGGCCGAUGUCAGAUUAGGUAGUUGGUGGGGUAAAGGCUCACCAAGCCGACGAUCUGUAGCUGGUCUGAGAGGACGACCAGCCACACUGGGACUGAGACACGGCCCAGACUCCUACGGGAGGCAGCAGUGGGGAAUUUUGGACAAUGGGCGCAAGCCUGAUCCAGCAAUGCCGCGUGCAGGAAGAAGGCCUUCGGGUUGUAAACUGCUUUUGUACGGAACGAAAAGGUUUGGGUUAAUACCCUGGGCCGAUGACGGUACCGUAAGAAUAAGCACCGGCUAACUACGUGCCAGCCGCCGCGGUAA